rnacentral:rRNA from 1 species
UACGUAGGGUGCAAGCGUUGUCCGGAUUUAUGGGGCGUAAAGAGCGUGUAGGCGGCUUGGUAGGUCCGCUGUGAAAACUCGAGGCUCAACCUCGAGAUGUCGGCGGAAACCACUUGGCUAGAGUCCGGAAGAGGAGAGUGGAAUUCCCGGUGUAGCGGUGAAAUGCGCAGAUAUCAGGAAGAACACCCGUGGCGAAGGCGGCUCUCUGGGACGGUACUGACGCUGAGACGCGAAAGCGUGGGGAGCGAACAGG